UAGGGAAUCUUCCACAAUGGGCGCAAGCCUGAUGGAGCAACGCCGCGUGAGUGAAGAAGGUCUUCGGAUCGUAAAACUCUGUUGUUGGAGAAGAACAUGCAGGAGAGUAACUGUUCUUGUAUUGACGGUAUCUAACCAGAAAGCCACGGCUAACUACGUGCCAG
rnacentral:rRNA from 1 species